AGCUCCAAUAGCGUAUAUUAAAGUUGUUGCAGUUAAAAAGCUCGUAGUUGGAUUUGUGGUGUGUCCAGUCGGCCUUUGCUCUUUGAGUGAUAGUGUUGUAACUGGUCUGCCAUGUUUGGGUGGAACCUGUGUGGCAUUAAGUUGUCGUGCAGGGGAUGCCCAUCGUUUACUGUGAAAAAAUUAGAGUGUUCAAAGCAGGCUUAUGCCUUGAAUAUAUUAGCAUGGAAUAAUGAUAUAGGACCUUGGUACUAUUUUGUUGGUUUGCGCACUGAGGUAAUGAUUAAGAGGGACAGUUGGGGGUAUUUGUAUUCCAUUGUCAGAGGUGAAAUUCUUGGAUUUUUGGAAGACAAACUACUGCGAAAGCAUUUACCAAGGAUGUUUUCAUUAAUCAAGAACGAAA
rnacentral:rRNA from 1 species